GCCAACACUAGCCCCAAGCAUAAUCAACACUAAUAACAAACCAACACACACUAAACCAUUUACCCAUACAAAGUAUAGGCGAUAGAAAUUUUAAUCUGGCGCUAUAGAUAUAGUACCGCAAGGGAAAGAUAAAAAAUCACCCAAGCACAAAACAGCAAGGACUAGCCCCUGUACCUUUUGCAUAAUGGAUUAGCUAGAAACAAUUUUACGAAGAGAACUACAAGCCAAAUUCCCCGAAACCAGACGAGCUACCCAAAAACAGCUAAAAGAGCACACCCAUCUAUGUGGCAAAAUAGUGGGAAGAUUUUUAGGUAGAGGUGACAAGCCUACCGAGCCUGGUGAUAGCUGGUUAUCCAAGACAGAAUCUUAGUUCAACCUUAAGCUUACCUACAGAACUUCCUAAUCCCCCUGUAAGCUUAAUUGCUAGUCCAAAGAGGGACAGCUCUUUAGACACUAGGAAAAAACCUUACAGAGAGAGUAAAACCCCUCAAUUACCAUAGUUGGCUUAAAAGCAGCCAUCAAUUAAGAAAGCGUUCAAGCUCAACAUUGACAAUCUCAAAAAAUACCAAACACAUAACUGAACUCCUCACAUCACAUUGGAUUAAUCUAUCACCAUAUAGAAGCAAUAAUGCUAGUAUAAGUAACAUGAAUACUUUCUCCACCGCAUAAGCCUAAAUCGGACCGAAAGCCUCACCGACACUUAACAGCCAGGCACAGCAAACACAAACAAGCCCAUGCUACCUUCACUGUUAACCCAACACUGGCAUGCCUCAAGGAAAGGUUAAAAAAAGUAAAAGGAACUCGGCAAACUCAAACCCCGCCUGUUUACCAAAAACAUCACCUCUAGCAUUACUAGUAUUAGAGGCACUGCCUGCCCGGUGACAUACGUUUAACGGCCGCGGUACCCUGAC
rnacentral:rRNA from 1 species